rnacentral:rRNA from 1 species
GACGAACGCUGGCGGCGUGCUUAACACAUGCAAGUCGAACGGAAAGGCCCUGCUUUUGUGGGGUGCUCGAGUGGCGAACGGGUGAGUAACACGUGAGUAACCUGCCCUUGACUUUGGGAUAACUUCAGGAAACUGGGGCUAAUACCGGAUAGGAGCUCCUGCUGCAUGGUGGGGGUUGGAAAGUUUCGGCGGUUGGGGAUGGACUCGCGGCUUAUCAGCUUGUUGGUGGGGUAGUGGCUUACCAAGGCUUUGACGGGUAGCCGGCCUGAGAGGGUGACCGGCCACAUUGGGACUGAGAUACGGCCCAGACUCCUACGGGAGGCAGCAGUGGGGAAUAUGGCACAAUGGGCGGAAGCCUGAUGCAGCAACGCCGCGUGCGGGAUGACGGCCUUCGGGUUGUAAACCGCUUUCGCCUGUGACGAAGCGUGAGUGACGGUAAUGGGUAAAGAAGCACCGGCGAACUACGU